rnacentral:lncRNA from 1 species
UGUUUGUGACGGCCUAAUUCACCUGGUGCUAAAGCUGGGCUUGUUCUGCCGCUGCUCACCAAGCGAUUUGGAAGUGGUUUGCGUCAAAAAGUAUUUGAUGGGUCACAUGUGCAUAAAGUUAUAAGCGACCAUGUCAAAUCUAGGCACUGUUUGGAGUUGAUGAGGGGAUUUCAUGUUCAAUGGAUCGACUAUUUAUGAAAAGCACUUUUAAUACUCAAUAGUCAUGUAUAGUAUUGCUUUUGGAAAUGCAAUUAUGUCGAUUGCGUAAACGGCUUUACAAAUUGAUAGGCUGCUGCAGAUGUACGGUGUACAUAAUGCUCGUUGUUGAUGAAUAUGCAAAACUCUUUAGUUAGUGGAGGCCAAACACAUCAUAUCGAUGAGUGAUGA